rnacentral:rRNA from 1 species
UACGGAGGAUCCGAGCGUUAUCCGGAUUUAUUGGGUUUAAAGGGUGCGUAGGCGGCCUUGUAAGUCAGGGGUGAAAGACGGUAGCUUAACUAUCGCAGUGCCUUUGAUACUGCAGGGCUUGAAUGUACUUGAGGUAGGCGGAAUGUGACAAGUAGCGGUGAAAUGCAUAGAUAUGUCACAGAACACCAAUUGCGAAGGCAGCUUACUAAAGUAUGAUUGGCGCUGAGGCACGAAAGCGUGGGGAUCAAACAGG